AUGCCGACUCCGGGCCCGGCCCCGCGGGGCCCCGGACGCGUAGACGGAACGCGCCGCCCCCGCGGCCAGGGUGGGGGGCUGGGGAGGAGGGUGGGCUCCGCUCGGGUCCGCGGAUCAGGAGCUCAGGCCGCUGCAACCGCCGCCGCGGCUCACCCGCAUGGCCCCUGGGCUCCGCCGCCCCCGGCCCCGGCUCCGUCGCUGGGGGGUUGGGGAGGACCAGGGUCCGAGACCGCUACCUGGGCGGAUCCCGAGCCCGCUCGAGCAUCCACGGCCAGGGGGCUGCGUCGCGAACCAGCAGAGGCGUGUAGCCGUGUGGGGGCGCGCAGGGGACUCCAACCUCGGAGAGGAAAAGGAACACGGCAGGCAGGCGGGCGAUGGUUCGUCUUCACUCGCCGGCUGAAGGCGUUUCCCUCUGCCCGCUGGCUUAGCUUUUUUGCAACAUUCUCUGGAGAGGUCUCCCAAACCAAAAAGCUCAGGGCUGGGCACCUCAAAGCCCAAAUCUCCCCCAAAAAACUUUUUCCAAAGUUGUCUUUUCAGCGGCGGCCCGAGCACCCGGGCAGGGAGAGGUGCAAACUCCAGCCCGGGCCGGUGGGGGGGCAGGAGCGUGUGCGCCCUGGCGCGGGGCCCGGGCGGCGGGCACGGCUGCUCUGCGCGCACGGCGUGCCCGUUGCGUGCUCGGCCCGGCCGACAGGUGGACGCAGCGCGAGUCGGUCGGUCUUCCCGCGGGCUCGCCGCUCUGGGCGUCCUCUGCGGGCUGCGAGCUGCGGCUGCUCCGGUUCUCUCUUUACAACGAGGCUGGAGGGUGGGCUUUUUUUCCCCCUCUUUAGCGCGCGUCUGUAUAUGUGUGUGCGCAAAAUAUCUCUCCCUCUCAGGAAUGAAAGAUGGGCGCUGGCGGCCGGCGGGGAACCUUCAGGGAGGCAGCGGGGGGAGGCUUCGGGCGCGCAGAGAGGCAGGCGAGCCGCUCCCGACUGCAGGAGGAGAAGUUGCCACCCUUUCAGCUGUUCCGGCCUUUAUAAAGGAGAAGGGAGCGUGUGAGAGCACCGUGACCACCACUGGUUAGGAGCCUACGUGGUUAGGGGAGCGUCUCAGGGCCAGCCAGAAGACCAACCCCCCCCCCCCACCGCGAAGGACUCAGGCUCUGCAGCCUGACACCUUGAACUCGGAUCCUGUCUGGCUGAGUCACCUUGGACAAGUCACUUUCCUUCUGUGCUCCUCCAUCCAGCCUCAAAGUGGGAGCAUUGCUUACUGUGUGGAUGAAAUGUCAGAAAGAUCAAAAAGCAUCCAGCAGGAGCCAACCACAAGUACCAGGGAUCGAACUCAGGACCUUGUGCUUGCCACACAGGCAAGGCACCAUUGAGCUACAUCCCCAGCCCUGGCUUGGAAUUUCUAAUUUUCCUGCCUCAGCCUCUGAGCAGCUGGGAUUACAGGUGUGUGCCACCACGCCUGCCUCAACAAUGACACAAGUCACGGGCUUUGGUGAGCGCUAAUGCAUUAAUACAUAUGAACAAGCUCUGCCACCGGAACAGGGUGGCUCAGCAGGACUCUGCCUUCUGUCCAGAGCACUACAGGGGCACACAGCAUGGCUCGGGGAUGGGGUGAGGGUGGGGUGAGGCGAUUCCAGCAGCAGCCUUGAGCACCUACUGUGUGGAAGCCCUGUGAGAAGCACUGCAGGAUGGAAUGACCCAGUCCCGGCGCUCAGGGACACAAAUCAUUGCAAUGCAGAUGUCUGCGCAGAUAGAGGUGGCCUGACAGAGACCAGCAGAAGCAGCAGGGGCAGCCUGGCAUGUAGGCUUGAACACCAUGCGGAGGGGAACUGUGCCCUGCACCCUCUCCUUGCAGGUAGGCGCUCUCCUCGUAUACCUCCACCUCUUCUUCUGCUGUACUCUGGUAGCCAGAACCUCCUCCAGGAAGCCUGCAGGCCUGGCACUCACUCUGGGCCCUAUGGCACGUGCCCCGUGGUCUCAUCUCCAUGUUGCUUGUCUGUCAGUCAAGCCCUACACUGAGCUCAUGGUGAGCAAAGGCUGCAGCUCCUGUGUAUAGUAGUUGCUCAAUAAAUGUCCUCUGAAGAAAGGAAUAAAUGAAUAAACAUCUUG